GACGUAGGGGGCGAGCGUUGUCCGGAUUUAUUGGGCGUAAAGAGCUCGUAGGUGGCUUGUCACGUCGGUUGUGAAAACCUGCAGCUUAACUGUGGGCGUGCAGCCGAUACGGGCGGGCUAGAGGCAGGUAGGGGAGAGUGGAAACUCCUGGUGUAGCGGUGGAAUGCGCAGAUAUCAGGAGGAACACCGGUGGCGAAGGCGGUUCUCUGGGCAUUACCUGACGCUGAGGAGCGAAAGCAUAGGGAGCGAACAGG
rnacentral:rRNA from 1 species